rnacentral:snRNA from 1 species
CCAGCUCUCUUUGCCAUCAUGGCUAAGAUCAAGUGUAGUAUCUGUUCUUACCAGUUUAAUCACUGAUAUCCCUGCAUUGUAGGACAUAUUGAUUAUUCUAUUUUUUGAAACCAGUGACUGGCCUCCGUGCUUGCAUACGCCAGUUGCACAGUGUCACUGGGCUCACACUACCCCCGGUUGACGCGAACUCCU